AGCAGUGGGGAAUAUUGUACAAUGGGGAAAACCCUGAUGCAGCGACGCCGCGUGAGUGAAGAAGUAUUUCGGUAUGUAAAGCUCUAUCAGCAGGGAAGAAAUACUGACCAUAGGGUCAGCAGACGGUACUUGACUAAGAAGCCCCGGCUAACUACGUGCCAGCAGCCGCGGUAAUACGUAGGGGGCAAGCGUUAUCCGGAUUUACUGGGUGUAAAGGGAGCGUAGACGGCAGCGCAAGUCUGAAGUGAAAUGCCAGGGCUUAACCCUGGAACUGCUUUGGAAACUGUGCAGCUAGAGUGCAGGAGAGGUAAGUGGAAUUUCUAGUGUAGCGGUGAAAUGCGUAGAUAUUAGGAGGAACACCAGUGGCGAAGGCGGCUUACUGGACUGUAACUGACGUUGAGGCUCGAAAGCGUGGGGAGCAAACAGGAUUAGAUACCCUGGUAGUCCACGCUGUAAACGAUGAUUACUAGGUGUUGGGGGACCAAGGUUCUUCG
rnacentral:rRNA from 1 species